AUGAUUAUCAUUGAACUAUUAUUUCAUCUACAGAAAAUUGUAAGCAUAGAACCUAUGAUGUUCUUACAUACGAUUCCUGAUAGAGGACUCAUAUUGAUUUCAACAGACAGAAACAUCUUAUUAUAAAACCUAUGGUGCCCUGUUCUAUUAAUAUUUUCGAAGCUUCUUAUGAUUCUAUCAUAAAAUCACUGCAUUUCCCAGUUAUGCAAAAUACAGGAUCUAAAGAAACCGCAUGAUCAUCGACUCAUUGCGAAAAAAACUAAGAUGAAAUGCUUCGUCCACGGAUCACAUUACAGAGAUGAAUGUCAGAAGAGCGACUACAUCCAGCGUCAAUAAUUUCAGCAGUCCUGAAUCAUAGGACGGCGAGGCCAAAACACCUGUUCUGUCGACGGAACGGAGCGAGUUUAGCUAGCAGAAGAAACACGAGAGCUGCUGAUUGCAUUUUUCUAAACCAUAUCUAUGUAUUCUAUAGGCAAAAGUAGGCAUUCAGUUCUGCUGUCCUUGUAACCCGAACUUGUGAAGAACUCCCACUUUGAUCUUCAUCUACACUGUGUCAACAUCUGGGUGUCGCAGCUCAUCGUAGGCUGAAUUAGGGGAAAUUACAAGCGAGUUAGGAACCAGACAUGAUCAGUAAAUAGAUGAAGAAGGGAAAAUCUUGAAACAAUAUAAUGCAACGAACUAAGCUUUUGGGCACUACUGUAACAUACUACCCGAAUUUAAUUCAGAGGUUAGAAAAUCAGCACUAUAUGCAAAUGUGAAAUGAGAUGACUGAACUUGAUUUGCCUAUCUAUCUAUAGGCAAAUGUUCCGUAAUGGAACUGAAUUAUAUGAAUCAAGGACUGAACAAAUCGACAUGGCACCUACUAUUUUCAUCCAACUACUUUUACUCUUCUGCAGUAUAAGACUACAACAGUUUCAAACAACUACCAAAUCCUAAAUGAACUACUUUUAAUCUUCUAUAAUAUCGUUUUUCCAAGCAUGAUCAGACUAGCACUCAACUAUAGUAAAAUUCUAAAUAUUUUCAUGCAGUAAAAUAGUAUCUACGCCAACAUCUGCACAUUGUGCAUCACAGAUUCAAGAGCAGGGUACAUUUCAUCAAAGAAGAUCAGCAGGGAACAGAUGAACAACCUAAAUAUCAGAAUUUUGUAAGAUAAAAAAAAAAGCAAGACCAAGGUUACAGCUCAUGUACAAAACCUGAAAACAGCUCAUGUGCAGAAACAAGAUUCAUUUAAUUUAGCUUUGUUGGAACCUGAAUUUUGUUCACAGAGCUAUUCAACGCAAGUAAAAUGGGCUAAAUCAAACGGAUGUCACACUUGUCUAUGUUAAGGCCGAAAGGAGAUGAAUCAACUGAUUUGGAGUUUUAAGUUCCAUGAUGAUUAAUUGCCCUAAUAAGAUCUUCUUUUCCUUACCUACAAGAUUACAACAGUUGCAGAAAAUUCCCAAUACCUAUCAGACUACAAGAAUUUCAGUUAACUGUUUUUUUUCAGACUACAGCAUUUUCAUUAAACUGUUUCUGGGACUAUAACAUUUUCAUUAAACUGUUUCUGGGACUAUAACAGUUUCAGUAAAGUGUUUCUGGGACUAUAACAUUUUCAGUAAACUGUUUCAGGCCUGUGAGAAAUCCUGAAUACGCAAAAAUGACCUGAAUAGUGCCAUCUCUGAACAUUUUCAGUAAACUGUUUCUGGGACUAUAACAUUUUCAGUAAACAUUUCCACCAGUUUCAUUUCCUUCCCGUAAGGUUACUAGGCCUGUGAGAAAUCCUGAAUACGCAAAAAUGACCUGAAUAGUGCCAUCUCUGAACUCUAACUAAAUCACUCCCAGCAUAGGAAUCCGCAUCUUGUGACCUAUCAACUAAAUCACUGAAGUUUCUGAAUGCAGGGAUCCCAAAUCUAACUACAGCAAAGUACAGCAUCCCAAAAUCUAUUGCAAGUUCUGAAUGCAGGAACAUAGUUUCUCGAUCGAUUAGUUCGUUUGAAUCCCAAACGUACCUUGGCCUUUCUUCAGAAAGGUACUCCGGGCGGGGGAACCACGCCGUCGCAACAUGGACACGCGAAGCGUCGGGCGUGGCAGUGCCUGCACAGGAAGACGUGGCCACAGGGAAACGGCAGCGCCGCCUGCCGGAACUGGCAAUCCCAGCACGUGCUACCUACGUGGCCGACAGGCGGCACCGGAGGGUGCCCGUAGAGCUGCAGCGCCCCCUGUGGGUGGUGCGGCAGGUGCGGAGGCGUCACCUCGUAGCGCCACUGUACGUCGAUGAACAGCGCUGGGCGCCCAGGUGCGGAGACGUGGAAGCGCAUGUGCUGCGGCCGCGCCGCGAACUGCAUCGCGCUGGCGUAGUGGGCGAGCCCCGGCGGCGCGAACUGGGGCGGAGGCCCCUGGAGCGGAACAAGGUCCCUGGGCGCCAGGUUGGGGUAGCGGGGGGCCUGCAGUGGCGGCGGCCCCUGGAGCGGAACGAGGCUGAGGUAGUGGGN
rnacentral:lncRNA from 1 species